rnacentral:rRNA from 1 species
GACGGAGGGUGCAAGCGUUGCUCGGAAUCACUGGGCGUAAAGGGCGCGUAGGCGGUCUCGCAAGUCUGGCGUGAAAGCCCAAGGCUCAGCCUUGGAAGUGCGCUCGAAACGGCGAGGCUGGAGUGCCGGAGGGGAGAGUGGAAUUCCCGGUGUAGCGGUGAAAUGCGUAGAGAUCGGGAGGAACACCUAUGGCGAAAGCAGGUACCUGGGCCUUUACUGACGCUGAGACUCGAAAGCUAGGGGAGCAAACAGG